UUCUUAUCAAGAGUGGUGGAGGGACUGGCCCAAUGAAGCCCGGCAACCGGAAAAAGGUAUGGGUGCCCUUUUUCUUGGUGCCAAUUCCAGCAGGUAUUUUUAAAAUACCUGGCAGAUAAGAA
rnacentral:ncRNA from 2 species